AUUACAUUUUCACCAAAUAUAUAUCCUUCUAAGAUGUUCAAUCGUUUGUAAGUCAGGCAUAUCUUAUUAUCUUUAUUUUAUCAUUUACGCGAAAACAAACGUCCAAAAUUAUAGUUUGAUAAAUCGAUUUGACAUGUACAUACUUACAUACAUACAUACAUAUGUAUUUAACUGAUCGUUUAAACUUCAGAACACGUUUCUUAGGAAUAAUACAAAUUACCAGGAAUGCUAUCAGAAGAUUAGAUACAAACGGAUGUAGCGAGAUACCAUGUGUUUCCCAUUUUCCGUAAUUUCCUGCUGUAUAGAAUGAAUUGGUGAUUGAGUAAUCGAAAUUGAACACGCUAGACUAAUCUAUCUUCUUCUUGCUCUGCCUACAAUUAACCGUUUCAAGCAACGGAUCAAUGUGUCCAACUAUUGUUACCUGUAUGUACAAACGUUUGCGUUUGUUUUGAAAGCAGAGAAAAAACAUACACGCGAAGAUAUUUGAUCGACUCAAUUGUUUAUUAGAGUAGAAGUGAUUAAUACGAAGAAAAAAAAUUCGUUUCAAUUGUAAGCCCAAUCGAUGGUUCUUUAUAAAUAAGCGAAUUAAUGAAGAGCACGUUAUUGGCAUCAUAAAAAAGAAGUAUUACGAAGGAGCAUGACGCAGAGAGGUCCGUUUUCAGGUUCAUUUUUCAUAUUUAACAAUUGCUUUUGUAAGCGAAAAACGGCCAAGUUACGCUUUUUAGAGGGUUUUUCAUUUUUGGUCGAAAUCGGUAAAAACAUUCUCGUAGAUCCAACCUAAGAGCAGUUCGUCACGCGAACAACAUCGGUUCGUGACUGUACCAACCUCUUAUGUAAGGCUCUUUAUGCGAAUACAUUGUUUAUUUGGGUUAUUGCUUGGUUGCUGUUGUAGGGGCUGAUGUUUUUAGGAAAGCAACCCAGGAGAUGCGCAGUAAAUAUGCGCAGUUGAGCGCGUUAGCGCGGAAAUUGAAUUACCUUUGUGCCAGUGUGACGAUAAAAGCGAGGCCAAAUUGUACCAUCUUGCAAACAGGCUUUCAAUUAAAUGUAGCUACGAACUGCAAUUUAACGCAACAAAAGACCUUAGCAGAGAAGUUUCUGUUGGUUUUUUUUCUAAAUGUCAUGGCUUAUCAAUGAAGUUUUUGUUUUUGUAAUUUGUUGGCUUGAAAGAUGUACUUCAACUAUUCUAGUCAAUAAUACAGUCACCUGUUGAUAAUUUAGAAAUAGUAUUCAAGGUAAAUAUUUUUGUUGUUUUAUUUUGUUUACUAGAAUAUUCCUGAGAAAAUAAUAAUUUUGAAAAUUUAGAUUGCCUUUUAAUUUCAUUCCAAGCAGGUCAAUUUAAAGUUGGCAAGUUUCAUAGGAAGCAUUGACUUUUGCAGGCUAAUGAACCAUUGCAAUGGAGAUUUAAAGUGUCCCAUUAUACCAUUCCCCGAAGCUUUUUGCAAUUCAAACCCGCGUUAGAAGUGUGAACGGAAAGGAAGAGGAGCGGUAAUCGAAAAUGAAAAAAGAAACCGCUAUAGCUGUUUUUUAUGUUUAUUCAGUCGAAUGUUGGACGAAACUAGUUGUAGCAUUGUGAUCAGAAUUUUUAUGGAAAGGCAGCGGCAAAUUCAUGAAUACGUGCUUCCUGUUCAAGAUUUACGGGCAUCACAGAUGCACGCUUCCGCCUACGUUCAAUGAAAGUCUUCAAGACAUUCGCACGCUAUUUAAUCAAGCUAACCCUGCUCUUCAUUCUCAAUAACAAACGCGAUUAUUAAGCUGUUUGUCUCUUUGAUGAUACCGUCUGAAGUCUGCGGGAUGAAACUGGAACAGUGUAUUAGCAGUUGUUAAAACAGAUGUAAAACGUUCUUUGUUAAUUAUUUAUCUCGUUAGAUCUAGAAAUUCUUAAUUUUUAUAUCAUCAGUCGGCAAUGAUUAAUGAAACCCAAAGGUCGAAGUGCAGAGUUACGUUCAGAAAGGGUUUCAAUCCGUGAUAAGUAUAAACGACACGCAUGAAAAUACGGUUAAUCGAAUUUAAAUGAAAUUCAACUAUCGUUAAGGUUUCCCGCAAUAUCGGACACCUCUUCAGCGGCGCUCUUUUUUCAUUAUCAUAACCGUUACAUACUUGUAAUCGUACCGAGACUGACACUGUGCACACGCGAGACGGUCAUUAACAGAGAACAAUUAAAUCAACUAUGCGCAGAAGGUUAUCACGAAUAAUGAUGGCCUUGUUAUCGCAUAGUUGUUCAAAGCAAAGACCCUAAUUGUUUUCACUAUUAAAUAAUUGGCAUGUACGCGUGGAAGCCUCGUCAGGUGUUAAUUAACAUCUUAUCUCGAAAAAUUAUGCUGUAUAAGAAACAAGUAACAUUGUAGUUCUGAAACGAUGCGCGAGAAGACAAACGAAUGUAGGAGAGUAAAGAAAGUGAAGAUGCGCUAAGAAGAAACGUGAAAACAAAUGAAAAACAGGCGGAAGAGAGGAACGGUAAGUCUACUUGGUGUCUGAGCGAGGACGACCCUCGGUGAAAAUGCAAUUUCGGUUCUUGUCUGGAGUCGACGUCGCUACCGUGGUGGCUCCGUACCCCCUUCAAGAUUGUUGAAGACACAGCCUCUCGUGCACACAGAAGUUCUUCUCUCCGACAUGUUCCAGGAGAUGAAAGGCUCCCGUGGCUAUCAAAGGGAAAGGGAAGUAGAGAUCUUAUGCUAGAUUCUUAAAUGAACAGGAAUUUGUAUUGCGCGCUUUGAUAGAACUAUCAUGAGGGUGUGGUUUCUAUUUCAUAAGAUCAGUGACUCUUGUCGUUUUUUUUUUUUUUAAAUAUCCAUUUUAUAUCAUAAUCUAACAAUAGUUAUUUCUACUGUGGCAGUGAACCAGUUCGAGAAUCUACUGCGCUAGGAAGGGGCGAGGAACUAGAAAAAAAAACUAUGAAUUAUUCAGGGAGAAACGCAUCGUCUCUUUUAAACGAUUACGAAACGAAGAAAGAAGGCGGUUCUAAAUUUGUAUCGGUUCAGUUUGCAUCCUCGUUCGCGAGGUGAACGCUCUGGCCAGCGACAUCUCAUUGAAGGAGCCUUCUUCGGCAACGAGAACCGGAACAAGGUGCCCGAUGAAUUUUCUACGAGCUCCUCGUGCACGUUGCCAAUGAUUCAGCGUUCUUGAUCGACUGCCACGAGUGCGACUGAGAGAGACAUCGAUAGGAAUGCGGUUGCAAAAGGCUAAAAAUAUCUACACUUCUUCAAAUCGAACAAUUUACCUGAGGUCGAUUGCUUGUAUAUUUCUCGGAAAGCAAUUAACAGUCUUACGAAAUCCAGUCGCGUAUUCGAUGGUUCAAGUAUAGGCGCGAACCAGACAUAAUAAGGCAUUUGUAUGUCCAUCGUGAAUUUGAUAGCAAAGGUCUCGUCCUCUCUUAGGUAUCGAAGCGUACACGUUUUAAAUUGAUUGAUCGAUUUAAAACACGUGUAUAUACUUACUGGCUCUUACACGUCAUAAGGAGAGAAAUACAGUCGUCGAAUUCAGCCGAUAGAAAUGCUAUCGUAAAUCCGCGUCAAGAUCAUGGCUGACGUCAUCCUCUGACGCACCAUCAUCUGACCUCAUAGUCUGCAUUGUCUAACGAACAGUUUGUAUUAGAUUUUCUACUAGUUGUGAUCGUUUGAUUAUCAACAUAUCAGACUCUAAAAGCCUGUAUUUAUUCAUUUUCAUAAUUAUUAGACGAACAUGAUUAUAUUAUACAGUUAUAAUAAAGCUUCAAGACGUGCUGCCACCUACGCGGUACUCGACGUUGCUGGUAAGGUAGAGUCCUACGCGUGACGGUGAACGAUGACCCGGUACCACAUGAAAAUAAACAGAACAUCUCGUGUUUACGAACUCUGUAACAGGUGUUUUUGUUUCUCUGGAGGGGAGUUCGGACUUCUGUGCAUCAGAGACUUUUUUCUUGGAUUUCAGACGCUGGUCGUUCGCUGCCAAAAUUGCAUUCAACGAAUUGCAGCACUGAAAAUGGAUUUGCAUAAAACGUCGAAGCAAAAGGAGACAGGUGUGCUUCGUAGAAGUAAUACGAAGAUAAUGUUCAACCGUAAGAAGAAAUAGCCUUUGCAAGUAAAAGAGUGUGAGUGAUCACGUCCUGUACUUUCCUAAGCACCUGCAGACCCAGAACGGAUCCGGCAGGUGCAAGAAGGAUACGAGGAACCUCGAAGAAUUUUAUGUUAACUUCGAUGAAAUACAGACGUAUUUUCCGUUGAAUUAUCGACGCGAAAUGUAGACUCUGGUCGGUUUCCAUGCUGCAGAGAAACGCAGCAAUAAGGAGAGAUAAUAUAGUUGACUUCUACUCGGAGAGGUCGGGUAGAUAAGAGAAGAGUGAACCCGCAAAAUUGACUUUCAUAAUUACCGACCGAGACUAGAACAGUAGUAUUCAAGGUAGUAUUCGGCCGAUCUACGGGACCGUAGAUCACUCGGAUACGAUAAAGUUUGCAAUUAGUACGCAAAGAGAAAUGACCUGAUUCAUUUGAUUGGGAAUUCAGCGAUAAUAAGAUGGAUCUUACACACCAAGAUAUAAUUAAUCAACGAUGCUACAAUUACUCGUGGAGGAUAUUUCAAUUAUAAUAAAUUGAAAGUUGAAAUUUAACGAAAUACAAGAUCGAGAAUAAGGGAAUGCAAGAGUACAAGUUAACACGACACUGUGUGUAUAUUGAGAGCAUGAAUCGAUAGUGGUUCGCAUCCAGCGUUGCGUAAAAUGACGUCAAUUGGUGCGUAACAAUUAUCUGAAAAGACCGGAAGACCGUAACCGAGAUCAUCCUCGAAGAUUCACACAAUUAAGAUCUGUCUCCUAUCUUUUUCCAGGUUUGAAGACACAGGAGAAAACUCGAUAUGCGAGGAAGCGUCAAGUCCGUCCGGGAAGUACAAAGACCAGGAAGCGGGGCGACGAUGAAUUAUAGAGGGCCAGCAAACGGAGCACGUCGCUACUCUAGCACCAGGUCGAUAUCCACUCUGGACUUGACGAUGUGUACCAGGAAUCGAUAACGCCAUGAAUUAUCAACGUUUCUCUUCCACUGGAACAUCCUGUCCCAUUUUCUAAAUGACAAGAACAGAUUCAAAAUUUCAAAAUUCACUUAGGAGCUCCGACAUAAUAAAUCAUAGCUACGUUCGUGGCAUGAAUUUUCCAACAGAAGCAUUCAACUCCUUGUAAAGCUUCCUCCUAGUCGAUAAUUACAAUACAGGCAUUUUCAAUACCCCAUAAAAAGUUUGUUAAAAAUACAUUUAACCAGAUAUACUCUGAAGAAUGAAUAGCUAGAUUCAAUGAACUUUAAAGUCUGAUAAAAUAUUUACAAUUUUCACUAAUCCUUAUCAAAGAUCAAAGCAUUUAUUACUUAUAAUUACUACUUCUUUAAAAAAUCAUGUCGUUACAAUUAAUUGCAUUGAUAACUUCAAUAUUAUCUUCAUUCAAUUACGCAAUACAUUCUUGCCAGUUCAAAAGCCUUUUUCUCCUAAAUAGUACACCUGUUAUCAGCGAUAAGAAAAACGUAAAAAUUAUGUAAGAAUAGUAUGUAAUCGCAGUGGCGUUACGAUAAGAAAAAUUCAUUGUCAUUGUCAAAGAGAGGAGGAGAGAUUUAUCCGGUAGUAUGGACCAGAGGAGAGUAUCGAUACGUUGUAACUGGCCGAGACGAGGAAGGAGCAAAAGCAAAGCAAGAGACGAACCAUCGCGUGCACGUGUGCACUUCACGUGACACACAUACGUCUCCACGUAGGUGUACACGCGUAUGUAGUAUCGAAUAAAUGCGUAUACGUGUAUGUAUAUGUACACCAUUGACCGGGAUAUCGUCUGUCUCGGGAUGAAUGAACUAUUACGUCACGCACUUGUACUCUCUGAUCCCCUUCCGGACUCCUCUCCUCCUUUCCUCUCCUGUAUGUUUCUCCUCAUCCGUCGAUUCUGUCUCCGUCUCUCUUUUCCCCGGCCUCUCCUCGUGCUCGCAUUAUAUUAUGUGCAGCAUACCUUCCUCCUUCCUUUCAUCGAUUAGCGGUGGAAUUCCAGGCCGUGGAGGGAGACGAUGGAGGUCAACGUAUCGCGGUGGCUCAGACACCCGGCAGACGUGUCUGUCCGUCCGUCCGUACGUCCGUCUGUCCGUCUGUCUGUGGCUGCUGUAAAACGCCGUGGGACGAAGGACGCGGGGAUGGAGAGACGGUGGCGGUGAAUCGCUUUCGUUUCGUACCACUGAUACACUUUUGCGCUGCCUCUUGUAUACCUAUCUUCGGCCGCAGGUGGCAUUCUUCUUCAUCCUUUUCUAUCGCGCAUCAUCUUCACUUGCGUUCUUCUUCAUCAUA